rnacentral:tRNA from 1 species
AAUAAGGUGCCUGAUAAAAAGGAUUAUCUUGAUAGGAUAAAUUAUGUAUUAUAUACUCUUAUUA